GUGCUUUCUUCUGCUUCUAACUCUCCCUUGCAUGGAGACUGUUCUUGAGGCCCUUACCCUCUUCACCUUGCUGAGGCUUUGCUGCUAACCCCAUAGGCUACUGUUGAUUGGAGGAGAGAGCGCUAUGGUGAUGGGGCUAUCCUGGGACAGUUCUUCCAUCACCAUCUUAUUGUAGCUAGAGCAUAUAUGCCAACAGGAAUUAUAUGUGACCAUUGAAUUCCAUAGUACUGUACAGGAACUCCAAGUGCAUGUUAGGCAAAAUGCUAGACCAAGAGGCUAGCCAUCACAGAAAAUGUUUACAAAAUUAAUUUAUAACCCUUGGUAGGUUUCUGAGAGUUGAAACCUAUUUCAGUAAACAGCUCUUGGUUUUCUAAUAUACUUCAUAGUUACAGUGAAUACCUCAUAGAUGUUUUUAUCAAAAUUUUCAGUGCCCUUGGGCGGAAAAUUGCUCACAAAAUUGUUCAAAUAGAACUGGCCUUCUGAAACAACCAUAUGAUGGUAAAUAAUCUCUAAAGAGGAUGCGUAAAAUUACAGUACAUAGCCUGGACUGUGAAACACCAGAGAGGGUAAGGAUCUGCUCUGCCCCAGCUGUGUGAUCUCAGCUGCACUUUCCUCAAAGGAAAGCCAAUGUAGUAGUCCCUGGUAAGGUUUUUAUGUAGUCGAAGCCACACACACACAUAUGUAUAUACACACACAUACUCAUACACACACACACACAUAUGCACAUGUAUGAUGUGCUUGGGCUUCCUUGAGUGCAUCAUGAUGGGUAUCUGUGAGUAAGGGACCACUCUAGUAGAAUGUGGAAUAUUCAUGGGAUGUUCUGUGGACUAUAUUAUUACUCAUCAGCUGAUGGAAUGCGUGGAACUUACAACUCUGCGUAUCAAGGAGCACAGAGGAAAGGCAUGCAGACUCCAGAAGUCAGUGCCUGUGGAUGGCGACGGACUGUGCUGAUUGAUUCUUAUUGCUAAUAUUGCCAUUUGAAUAUGGGUAUGGCAGACUUUGAAAGAGGAAUGAUCAGACUUUGACAGUCGCUGUGUGCAGGCCACUGUUUGAAGGCUGCCGUGUGAAGAAGACCGUGUGAAGGCUGCAGUUCCCACGAGGGGAGAUUGAUACACCUUGUGCUCAGGAGGAAGGAGUUUGGUAGGGAUUCUUCAGAAUUUUCUGGGCGUGGAAGUUCUCCUCUUGGCUUGGAAAUCAAAAGUCAUCCGGCUCAUCCUGGCUGAAAAGAAGAGAUUCUGUUCCUGAAAGGAGAAACCCAGUUCAGGCUUUGUCCUCUCCAUGUGGCUCCGGCUCUGCAGGUUCUUCUACUUCUUGAAGGCCUUUCCUAGCCAUCAGCUGUGGGUCAGCCUCGUGUCUGUUGUUUUGGGGUGGGAAGCAUGGCGUUAGAGGAGAAGAGACUUGACUGGAGACAGCAACUCUGUGACCAGUGCGCCAGGCCUUGUGGGCCAACCCUGUUCUCAGAAUGGAGUUAUAGAUAAAAACAAAAGGAAACAAAACAAAACAAACACCCAACCUCCUGAAUGCGUUAUCGGAAGUCUGAAAGGAAAGCCCUUGCAUUCCAUGCUGCUAACGUGCCAUCUGGCUAUCCAGACUUGAACCAAGUUCCGUUUUUAGAACAUGAAGACACAACAUGCCUUCCCUUUGUGCCCCUUCCCUCGUCUACCCAUUUCUUCAAGCUAGGAGGGUUUGGAAGAGUAGAUUUAUAAACGAGAGCCGUCCUCACACCUUGAAGGAAUGCAGUCCCAGAAGCCAGAUGUACAAGUAACACAUGGACUCCAGCAUUCAAGCCUUUCAGGGAAGGUCUUAGCUGCAGAAGGCUACCCUGCCUGAGGUCGUGCCAGCACAGGCAACUGUAGCCAGGGGCAUAAAGUCUGGCCAUCUCUGCUUAAAACGGACAACCCUAUUUAAGUGGGAUGGUUGAAACAGAAGGACUCCCUGCUGGCUUGGCUGAAGCUAAGAUUCCUUUGUUUCCCCUUUAUUUCACAAGAGAUAAACCCUGGUAGAUGUCCCAUCCCCCAGUGUACCUCAGGGACAACUUCUGAAGAGUCACUUCAGUGAUGGACACUAGCCUUUCUGAGUUGUAUACAGGUCAGCGCUUGGAACUCCAGACUUCUCUUCAUAAGCAAUGAAUUUUAGAAGCCACAGAUGCGAUUGAUUCAAUGGGUGGUAGCCAUAAGGCAAAGGGAAAUGAAGACAAGGGCAGAAAGUGAAUAAAAACAUUAUACCCAA